rnacentral:rRNA from 1 species
CCAGAGAACUUUCCAGAGAUGGAUUGGUGCCUUCGGGAACUCUGAGACAGGUGCUGCAUGGCUGUCGUCAGCUCGUGUUGUGAAAUGUUGGGUUAAGUCCCGCAACGAGCGCAACCCUUAUCCUUUGUUGCCAGCGGUUAGGCCGGGAACUCAAAGGAGACUGCCAGUGAUAAACUGGAGGAAGGUGGGGAUGACGUCAAGUCAUCAUGGCCCUUACGAGUAGGGCUACACACGUGCUACAAUGGCGCAUACAAAGAGAAGCGACCUCGCGAGAGCAAGCGGACCUCAUAAAGUGCGUCGUAGUCCGGAUUGGAGUCUGCAACUCGACUCCAUGAAGUCGGAAUCGCUAGUAAUCGUGGAUCAGAAUGCCACGGUGAAUACGUUCCCGGGCCUUGUACACACCGCCCGUCACACCAUGGGAGUGGGUUGCAAAAGAAGUAGGUAGCUUAACCUUCGGGAGGGCGCUUACCACUUUGUGACUCAUGACUGGGGUGAAGUCGUAACAAGGUAAGCGUAGUGCU